UCAUAACAAUACAAAUUGUUAAGUAUUUUUGUCCAAGAAAAUGCUGUUUCUGGUCCAGUAAGUGGCUUUACUUUUUAGUUAUUGUUGGAAACUAAGCUAGGUCUUUGCUUGGCAAUGAAUUAAGCUGCACCAACUAGAUAAUGUUGAAGCUAGUUUGAACAGUUCAUCAGCUUCGGUUUAUUGGUAGACAAUUGCAAAUGACAGGGUGAGAUUCCACAUCACAAAAGUUUUCUUGUGAUGCAAUGCUUCAGAACUUGGCUAAAACAAUCUCUCGCAUGAAAUCUGUCGGUGCUUCUCUGCCCGUGAAGAGGUUGAACUGGCCGAUUGCUUGUCUAAGGAACAUUUCAACCCCACUUACUAUGAUUGCUCCUGCUGCUUCGGCUUCUUUUAAUAGUCUGGUUUUUCUAGGUGUAUAGACAGCAUCAAAGACCAGGUGAUAGAUCCCCAGGGUUGCCUCAGCCACAGGAAUUCUAUCUGUAUUUGGAUGCAUUCCUAAAGGUGUUGCAUUUGCCAGGAUUGCUCCAUCCUCUGGCUGGAAAUGAACUAGAUUUUCGAAAGGCUGAGCUUCACCCGAAACCCCAUGUGCCAGAGACUUUGCUCUCUCAAAAUCAACAUCGAAAAUGAUUAUACGGGCA
rnacentral:misc_RNA from 1 species